GAAUUAUUAAUUCCACAUAAUGAUGUGUUAAUAUAAGAUAACAAUAUAUUUAAUUAUAAAGAAUUCAUAUUGAAUGAAAUUAUUUAAUAAAUUAAACAUUUUUUUCAGCUAAUGUUUGUGGUGAGGAUGAUGAAGGUCAGAAUAGAUUGACUGCAGGACUGAGCCCAGCUGGACGAAAAUUGGCUGCUUCAAUGGAUAUUCCUUUGACCUUGGCAGAGACAGCUGAAUCUUUUGACCAGUGAAGAAUCAGAAAUUUGCAGUGGACACAAUCACCUGCAAAAAUGUUCUGGUUGUCAUAAUUUUUUUGGCAAAAAUACGACAUUUGUGUGUUUCUUUGGUUGAUUUCUAAAUAACCCUCCGUUUGUAUUU